rnacentral:rRNA from 1 species
CCUACGGGUGGCAGCAGUGCGGAAUAUUGGUCAAUGGACGAGAGUCUGAACCCGCCAAGUAGCGUGAAGGAUGACUGCCCUAUGGGUUGUAAACUUCUUUUAUGUGGGAAUAAAAUGUUCCACGUGUGAGAUUUUGUAUUUACCAUAUGACUAAGGAUCGGCUAACUCCGUGCCAGCAGCCGCGGUAAUACGGCGGAUCCGAGCGUUAUCCGGAUUUAUUGGGUUUAAAGGGAGCGUAGAUGGAUUGUUAAGUCAGUUGUGAACGGUUUAGGCUCAACCGUAAAAUUGCAGUUGAAACUGGCAGUCUUGAGUACAGUAGAGGUGGGCGGAAUUCGUGGUGUAGCGGUGAAAUGCUUAGAUAUCACGAAGAACUCCGAUUGCGAAGGCAGCUUACUGGACUGCAACUGACACUGAGGCUCGAAAGUGUGGGUAUCAAACAGGAGUAGAUACCCGAGUAGUC